GGGGGGAGCAGGGGCUUCCUGUUUACAAGAAUCCCAAGGACCCUCAGGGGCGGUGACUCAGACAGGCCUGGGAGCAGCCCCUCAGCUCUGGCUGCGUGGGAGGGGCCUCUGGAACACUAGCCAGCAGGACUCAGACUGUACCCCAUGUGGGAUAGGAAGUGAGGAGCCUUAGAAUAGUUAGAAUACUGGCCGACUGGAGGAGUUGAGUACCUAAGUACUGGGGCUGAGUAUGAAAGUCCUGGAGCCCAGGCCGGUAGGCAGGGCUCUCCCAAGUGUCAACUUUGCCCUCGAAGCUUCUUCAGGGGAGAUUGAGUCUAGAGGAAGGACAGAUCUUUCUGCCUACGAAGCUGGAGGGGAUGGGGGACGACACAACACAGAUGAGCUGAGAUGCCUUCACCUUUUCUGAGACUUCCAUACCCUGAAGGAUGGAAUUGGCUAAGGCCCAGGACCUGCUGGGAGAUAGUGGCCAGAUAUACUUCAUAGCGAAGCUCCAGGGCUCAGGGGUGACAACCAGUGUGGGGAUGGCCAAAGGCCACCCUGCAGAAGAAAACAACACGGCCCUGAAGGUUAUCACAGCCAGCUCUUCCGAUGGUUACCCAACAGCCCCCUAGCUCAGAGUACCCAGAAACCAGCCCUACGGGCACACUUUGUGGGCUUUUGAGACAGCUGUAUUGGAGGGAGCUGGUCCAGCAGCAUGAGGCAGUUACAGAGGGCUUCUCGUAAGAGGCAGCAGCUUCUCACUGUGGAUUCCUGAAACAGCCCAGGAAAACAGUCUGGCCAAAGGCAAUGGAGAUUGAACUCUGGACCUCACAUUCUUGCAGCAAGCACUUUACCAACUAAGUGACCUCUCUAACCGGCCCCCCAAUCCCCUCUGUAUAAAGGAGCUUUUAUCCAGGAGUUCUGGAAGCCUUGUUCCUGUGUACCCCACCUCCCUUUCAACAAGCCCAACAUACUGGGGAUAACUCAUUUCCUCCCAUUUACUGUGGGGGAAACUGAGGCCUGCAGAUGCUAAGAAAUGUGUCAAAGGUCAUAUCCCCAUGGACUGUGAGUGGGUUUGGGGUUUGAGCCUGGACCUGGGCUCUUAGUUCGAGGUUCCCUCUACCUGUGAGUGUUACCGCUUUGCCCAUUAAGGCGUUUGAACCCAGAGAUAGCUGCUUCUGCCUCCAGGGGCAGGUGGUUUGUGAACCACUUGGGCUAUUGGUUCCUUGGGGUUGGACCUGGGGUAGGAGAAGUUGCUCAAACUCUUCCAUACUCAGAGCUGGGUCCUUGUCUAGACGUCGUCACCGAGACCUGAUGUGACGGUGGCAACACUGAGGUUGGCAGAAGGUAGGAAGGCCAGCAACAUGUCAGCAUCCUGCUCGCCCCACCUGACACCCAGCAUGUCCUGGCUGGCGGCCACAGUGAUUCACCAGUUCUGAGCCCCAGUUUCGUUUGUAAUCAGGAAACUGCUUCUGGAGAGCCCGGGGCACUUUCUGCUGAGCCCUACACCCUCCCAGAAGCUCAGGGAGAGGCUGAGGAGGGGAGCUGAGGAGGUGGCCAGGGGCCUGGGCCCAAGAAUUUGCAUAAUUUGUUCUUUUCUUUGUGGAGGGUGAGAAAUCCCCAGGAUUUCAUUUCCCUGGAAACUAGCCCCAUUCCUCAUCCAUUCCACCCUCCCUGCACCAGUUGCCAGGGCCCUAGACAAGCCGGGCUUUCCAGAAGUUCCCUGGGAGAGACCACUGCAGAAGGGGCUAAUUCCAAAUGGUGGUUGGUGGGUAAGGGGACUUUCAGGACCCAGUCUGACGUUUCAGAGGCCCCACCUAGAGGAAGGACAGUGCAGGCAGGGGUCAGCAGCUGCUUCUUCUGCAUAGUCCUUUCUUCUUUGGGCCCUUGAUUUUCCCACCUAUGGGCAGUAAUGGUGUCUUUUUGCUGGGGUCAUUAAGAGGACUCAGGAUGAAGUGUGGAGAGAGCUUGAAACAGUAUCUGCUCUGUGGUCAGCCUUGGGAAGUGUUAGCUUGUUUAGUGUUGAUGCUAGGUCAGUACUGUCUUGAGCAAACCCACAAUAUUGAGCAUCUAGCCAGCAGCAGCACAGGUGAAGGGCAGUGUCUGUGCGAAGGCCCAGACCAUGUAAUGUGAGACAUGUGGAGCACUAGAAGGGAAUUCUGGGGAAGGGAGAUUUGAAGAUAUCAUUUCCCCUUUUGGACAGUCACUUCGAAGAAGCAGGGGCCAUAGGAGGCUUUGGAGCAGGACUGUGUGAUACACAUAGACUGAGCAGCAGGACUGUGGAGAGGUGAUUGCCUGGAGAGGCCAUAGUGAGGAGGUAGCACCAGGACUCUGGUGAAAGAUGGGGCAUCUAGGGCUGGAGAGAUGGGUCGGUGGGUAAGGCCCUCCCUUGCUGUACAAGCAUUCAGACCUGGGGUCUGCUUCCCAGAGCACAUGAACAAAGCUGGGUGAGGCAAUGUACCUGUAACUCCAGUGUGGGGAAGGAGGCCAUUGGCAAAUCCUGGAGGGCUCACUGACCAACCAGUCCAGCCAACCGGUGAGCUCCAGAUUCAGUGAGAGACCCUGUCCCCCCAAAUAAGGCAGCUGAUGAGCUGACUCAGCAGAUAAAAGCUGUCCCUGACAUCUAGUUGUGUUGUGGCACACUUGCAUACCUGUGAGCUCUCUCUUUCUCUUUCUCUCUCUCUCUCUCUCUCUCUCUCUCUCCUCUCUCUUCUUUCUUCUCUCUCCUCUCUCCCUCUCAAUAAAUCCAUUUAAAGAAUAAUGUGAGAGCAAUGGAAGAAGACACCCAGCAUCUGCCUCUGGCCUCCACGAAUGCUAACAUGGACACCUGCGCAUAAUGCACAGACACAAACAUGGAGAGGCCUGAGCUAGAAUAGUAGUUCUAGGUGUGGAAAGGUCAGGGCUGGGACUCCUGGGGUCACACAGAGCUGAGCUGACACUGACAAUGAGUGAGUGAAUUCUGUGGCAGGGGAGAUGGAAGAAUGCAGGUUUACAGAGAGCCAGUAACUCAGAGCACCGUAAAUUGUUUAGUAGGGGACAUUGUAGGAGGUCCUCAAAGGGUGGGUAGGAUUUGUGCAGAGGCCUAAUAAGGAAAGGAAGGCCACCUUGGACAAAGACCACCAAAAACAGUGCUUGAGAGGUCUGAAAGCCUGAGUGGGGGUAGUGUGGAUGGAGAAAUUGUGGGAUGAAGUGUUGGGGGUCUUGGACAUCUUUCUGUAGAUAACUGGGGGAAAAAGUUGACAGGUAGGGUGAGUGGCAGGGGGAGAUUUUCAACAUAUGUAUCAGUUUCCUGCAGCUGCAGUAACAAAAGAGCAUGAUGCUGGUGGCUGAAUAUAACAGAAAGGAUGCUUUUGGCCUCCGUAGGGCAGGAGGCCGAGAUGAAGAUGCCUGAAGGCUCCAAGAUUCUUCCUGCCUCUUAUGCCAGCCUCAGCCUGCUUCUGUGUGACCCUCCCCAGGUGUCCUGGAUGGUAUAAGAGAGCAGGCUGAGCAAGUCAAGAGCAGCAAGCCUGUAAGCAGC